AUGGUGGCUCCGGCGACGCUGUCCCUCCGCCCCUGCGCGACCCUCGCGCCGUCCAGGGCCGCGCUCCACCGCGCCCACGCCCACGCCGGGUUCGCCCCCGCUAGUCGUCCAGCCCUCUCCGUCUCCUGCCCGCCGACGCGCUUCGAGAGCCUCCGCCGCGCCGCCACCGCCGUAUCCGACCGGCAAGGCUCCGCAGAGCCUUCCGAGAAACAGGAGGAGAAGUCGCGGACCUACUACUUCCUGGUGGCGAACGCCAAGUUCAUGCUGGACGACGAAGAGCACUUCCAGGAGCAGCUCCAGGAGAAGCUGCGGCUCUACGAGGAGCGCAGCAAGGAGCAGGACUUCUGGCUUGUGAUCGAGCCCAAGUUUCUAGACAGGUUCCCCAACGUCGCCAAGCGGCUCAAGCGCCCCGCCGUCGCGCUCGUCUCCACCGACCGCAACUGGAUCAGAUUCAUGAAACUAAGGCUGGACAGGGUCUUAGCGGAGCAAUUCGAUGCAGAGACACCUGAAGAAGCAUUGGCUUCUAACCCUGCAGAGUUGAAAUUCGAUAAGCCUGACAAAUGGACAGCUCCAUACCCCAAAUACGAGUCUGGAUGGUGGGAGGCCUUCUUACCUCCAAAGUCCAGCAACGGCACGGCUUAG
rnacentral:rRNA from 1 species